UAACGAAUCUUCCGCAAUGCACGAAAGUGUGACGGAGCGACGCCGCGUGGAGGACGAAGUUCUUCGGAAUGUAAACUCCUGUCAGGGGAAAGAAAGUUCUGAUCUACCCCAGAGGAAGAGGCGGCCAACUCCGUGCCAGCAGCCGCGGUAACACGGGGGGAGCAAGCGUUGUUCGGAUUCAUUGGGCGUAAAGAGCUCGUAGGCCGCUCUGUAAGUCGGAAGUGAAAGACCACGGCUCAACCGUGGAAACGCUUUCGAAACUGCGGAGCUUGAGGCCGGGAGAGGAGAUCGGAAUUCCUGGUGUAGCGGUGAAAUGCGUAGAUAUCAGGAGGAACACCCGUGGCGAAGGCGGAUCUCUGGACCGGUUCUGACGCUGAGGAGCGAAAGCUAGGGGAGCAAACAGGAUUAGAUACCCCGGUAGUCCCUGAGCGGGCUGGCAAGGCGCAU
rnacentral:rRNA from 1 species